ACCUUUCCCGAAGCAGCACCAACGGUUCUCACAUUCUUGUCUAGGAUGUGACAUCGCACAGUCGUCGUCCCGACGUCGAGCGCCGCGACGUAUUUGACCGUCGUCGAGCUUGCCAUUUGGCUCGAGGAAUCUAACAAUUUCGCUCGCCAGGUCUUCGGUUCGUGACCCAAAAUUUUUCUCCCAUGUGCCGUGUGAUCGAAG